rnacentral:lncRNA from 1 species
UGAACACGACCGAACAGUUUUGGUUGAAGCAGCGCACUUAUGAACAAGGCGGGCACAAAUGUGUCUACUCCUCUAAGAUUUCACUCACAAAUACCGACUACACAUUCGAUCAAUACUACAAAGAUGGCCAGCAACAAAAACAAGGGCCAACCCGCUUGUAUGGGAAAUUAUCCAGUGGCGAAGAAGGGCCUGUAAUGACAGUUAGUCGGCAACAAGGUGGCGGGGGGAUACCAUACACUCUGAAAUACUGGAGCCCGACCGAAGAGUGUGCCAUUCUUACGCUUACGAAAGAAGGAACUCAUCAUUGUGAACAGCAUGUGUGGAACAGUCACAUUAGCAGUGCCAUUGGAAACUGUGAUGCCGCAUACA